CAGCUUCUAGCAAUGUGCACCACAGUUUCUAACAUUAAUGUGCACCACAGUUUCUAGUAUUAAUGUGCACCACAGUUUCUAGUAUUAAUGUGCACCACAGUUUCUAGCAUUAAUGUGCACCACAGUUUCUAACAUUCAUGUGCACCACAGUUUCUAGCAUUAAUGUGCACCACAGUUUCUAACAUUCAUGUGCACCACAGUUUCUAACAUUAAUGUACACCACAGUUUCCUAUUCUCCUUUAAACUACUACUGCUAGUUUGAUGGUUGUGGCCAUCAAUUGUCCCAAGAACAUUCACCCAUAUUAACAAAGUUAUUUAAUUUCAACAUCACAUUUGUCUAGAAUGGGCUACUUAUCGUAAUGAAGGAUAUCAGUAAAAUGUCUGCAAUGUUACCGGUAUGGUCGGUGUCUACAUUUUUUCAGUUUAUCUUUCCAGCUCUACCCUGUUAAUAAUUUAGCAUAGCAGCCUAGGUAUCCAUUGCAGUUGGAUUGCUAUAUCAUAACAUACCAUAUCUUACACUAUCCUACCAUAACACACCACCCUACCAUAGAAUACCAUAUCCUACCAUACAAUUUUAUACCCUACAAUACUAUAUCAUACCAUACCCUACAUUACAAUAUCCUACCAUACCACAUCCUACCCUACUAUACCAUAUCCUACCAUACUAUACCCUACAAUACCAUAUACUACCAUACCUUAUCCUACCCUACUACCAUAUCCUACCAUACAUCAUUAUACCCUACCCUACAUUAUUAUACCCUACAAUACCAUACCCUACAAUACCAUACCAUACCCUACCAUAUCCUACCAUACGCUACUAUACCAUAUCCUACCAUACAAUACCAUAUCCUACAAUACCAUAUCCUACCAUGCAAUACAAUACCAUAUCCUACCAUACUAUACCCUAUCAUAGCAUUGCCUACCAAACCAUAUCUUCCUAUACCCUACCAUACCAUAUAUCCUACCAUACUAUACCCUACAAUACCAUAUAUCCUACCAUACCAUAUCCUUCCAUACUAUACAGUACCCUACCAUACAAUAGUAUACCAUAACAUAGCCUACCAAACUAUAUCUUCCUAUACCCUCCCAUACCCUACAAUACCAUAUCCUACCAUACAAUACCAUAUCCUACCAUGCCAUAUCCUACCACAUCCUACCAUACUAUGCCCAACCAUACCAUACAUUUCCCUACCAUAACAUACCCUACCAUAACAUACCCUACCAUACCAUAUCCUAACAUGCCAUAUCCUACCAUACUAUACCACAGCCUACCAUACUAUACCAUAGCCUACCAUACUAUACCCUACCAUACAAUACCAUACAGUUCCCUACCAUACUCUACCAUAACAUAGCCUACCAUACUAUAUCCUACCAAACCAUAUCCUACCAAACCAUAUCUUCCUAUACCCUACAAUACCAUAUUACCUAC
ensembl:lncRNA